rnacentral:tRNA from 1 species
UGGUUAAAUAGUCUAUUAGAUAUUAAAUUGCAAAUUUAAAGAAAAAUUAAAUCAUUUUUUAGCC